UACAGAGGUCUCAAGCGUUGUUCGGAUUCAUUGGGCGUAAAGGGUGCGUAGGCGGCGCGGUAAGUCGGGUGUGAAAUCUCGGAGCUUAACUCCGAAACUGCAUUCGAUACUGCCGUGCUUGAGGACUGGAGAGGAGACUGGAAUUUACGGUGUAGCGGUGAAAUGCGUAGAUAUCGGGAAGAACACCAGUGGCGAAAGCGCUCUACUGGGCCAUAACUGACACUGAGGGACGAAAGCUAGGGGAGCGAAAGGG
rnacentral:rRNA from 1 species